rnacentral:misc_RNA from 1 species
CUCUCUCUCUCUGUCUUUCUCUGUCUCUCUCUCUUCCCCCCACCCCCUAGGCUUCAUCUUUUUGGAACUUCUGAACCUUUUGACAUGGGAGAAGCUCAAGAAGUGCAACUUCAAAUUAUGGGUAAGUUGGUCAUCCAUGUAAAUACUUAUGGUUUCGUGGGAGAACUGCACAUGCUACUACUUUUCUGCUUUCUUUUACUAGCACUUGUAAAUAGAACUCAAUAGAAAAACAACUUCUGAUUUUUAUUUACUUCAACCUUAAAAGCAUACCAUGUAAUAAAUGAACUUAUGGCUGUAAUAUUAGCACAUGAUCUCCUUGGAUCUACAUAUUUUUACUUAUGGAAAACGAAGUAAUGCAAAAUGCUUCAUAUUGUGGAAAAAGAAACAGAAGAAUACAAAGAGAAAGAAAGAAAGAGUUUUCAAUUAAUUUCUUGACAUAAAACUGCUAUCAUAGAAGGAUGGUUGCUAGAGAAGUAAGUAUUUCAUAGCAUAGUCACAAUUCUUAGGAAUGUUUUGAACUUGCAGGGCCUUUGUAGUUUCCACCUGAAAAUUUAUCCAUAAGUUAGUAGAUUCAUAGUUCUGAAUCAAAGCUUCUACAUAAAUAUCAGAUCUAUAGUUGUCCCAGGACCUGUGUUAUAAACAAACUCAUCAAGUAUUCUCAUCCAGACUAUGUCAUAUUCUUCUUCUCGUAAUAUACGAUUUAAAGACCUUGCUCAAACCUUAGUUACUAUGCAGCCAAGGUAAAGUUGAAAGUGACUACAGAAGUUGAUCUGUUUAAUUUUUGUUCUUACCAGUUCAGGAAGCUAAAGAAGAAAAUUCACCCGAGUCUGCGAGUGUCACAAACCAGUCAACACUGCCACAAAGAAGAAACUACAAUUGGUGGUUUCGAGUGUCGCUCUAUAUACUGUUUCUCCUCUUUGGUCAGUCAGUGGCUGUUAUCUUAGGAAGAAUGUAUUUUGUUAAAGGUGGAAAUAGCAAAUGGAUGGCAACGCUAGUGCAACUUGCUGGCUUCCCAAUUCUCAUUCCCUACUAUUUCAUUAUAAAACUCAAAAAUCCUACUGCAUAUGAUACUUGCACAAAACCACCAUCUGUCUUAACCCUCACAGCAAUUUAUGUCUCGCUUGGCCUACUGAUGGCAGCAGAUUGCUUUAUGUAUUCAAUUGGGUUACAGUACCUUCCUGUAUCCACCUAUACCCUUAUAUGUGCAUCUCAGUUAGCCUUCAAUUCUUUUUUCUCCUUUUUCCUUAAUUCCCAGAAGUUCACUCCAUUUAUAAUCAAUUCUCUAGUCCUUCUAACCAUCUCCUCUGUCCUCCUGGUGUUCAAUAACGAGUCUGCAAACCCGACUAGAUUCUCUAAAGCCAAGUACGCAAUCGGUUUCAUAUGCACUGUGGCUGCUUCUGCAGGGUCUGGACUGAUGCUGUCACUGACACAGCUUUGCUUCAGGAAGGUUCUGAAAAGGCAAACAUUUAAGGUAGUCAUGGAUAUGGUAAUCUAUCAGGGAAUAGUUGCAACUGGUGUUACAAUGAUUGGAUUUUUUGCCGGCGGAGAGUGGAAAAGUAUAACAAGAGAGAUGGAUGAGUAUCAAAUGGGAAAGGUGUCCUAUGUAAUGAACUUAAGUUGGACUGCUAUAAUUUGGCAGGUGUUUGCCAUUGGAUCUGUUGGGUUGAUUUUUGAGGUAUCUUCUCUGUUUUCCAAUGCCAUAAGUGUCUUAGGCUUGCCUAUUAUUCCAGUCGUAGCCGUGUUCCUUUUCCAUGACAAAAUGGAUGGUAUAAAGGCAAUUUCCAUGCUGCUGGCUGUCUGGGGCUUCCUCUCCUAUGUCUAUCAGCAUUACCUCGACGAUCGUAAAUCCAAGGCUGAAAACAGAAAUGCCAUUGAAGUUUCUAAAGCUUCAAAUACUGGAACCUCUAGGGAAGAAUAAAAUGGGGUCUGCAGAUAGAUACUUGACAGCUAUUCCUGGAGU